rnacentral:lncRNA from 1 species
AUGCCAGCAAAUUUGGAAAACUCAGCAAUGGCCACAGGACUGGAAAAGGUCAGUUUUCAUUCCAAUCCCCAAAGAAAAGCAAUGCCAAAGAAUGUGCAAACUACCUACAUAAUUGCACUCAUCUCACAUGCUAGUAAAGCAAUGCUCAAAAUUCUCCAAGCCAGGCUUCAGCAAUAUAUGAACCGUGAACUUCCAGAUGUGCAAGCUGGUUUUAGAAAAGGCAGAGGAACCAGAGAUCAAAUUGCCAACAUCCUCUGGAUCAUGGAAAAAGCAAGAGAGUUCCAGAAAAACAUCUAUUUCUGCUUUAUUGACUAUGCCAAAGCCUUUGACUGUGUGGAUCCCAAUAAACUGUGGAAAAUUCUGAAAGAGAUGGGAAUACCAGACCACCUGACCUGCCUCUUGAGAAAUCUAUAUGCAGGUCAGGAAGCAAGAGUUAGAACUGGACAUGGAACAACAGACUGGUUCCAAAUAGGAAAAGGAGUACGUCAAGGCUGUACAUUGUCACCCUGCUUAUUUAAUUUCUAUGCAGAGUACAUCAUGAGAAAUGCUGGGCUGGAAGAAGCACAAGCUGAAAUCAAGAUUGACGAGAGAAAUAUCAAUAAUCUCAGAUAUGCAGAUGACACCACCCUUAUGGCAGAAAGUGAAGAGGAACUAAAAAGCCUCUUGAUGAAAGUGAAAGAAGAGAGUGAAAAAGUUGGCUUAAAGCUCAACAUUCAGAAAACGAAGAUCAUGGCAUCUGGUCCCAUCACUUCAUGGGAAAUAGAUGGGGAAACAGUGGAAACAGUGUCAGGCUUUAUAUUUGGGGGUUCCAAAAUCACUGCAGAUGGUGAUUGUAGCCAUGAAAUUAAAAGACGCUUACUCCUUGGAAGGAAAGUUAUGACCAACCUAGACAGCAUAUUGAAAAGCAGAGACAUUACUUUGCCAACAAAGGUCCGUCUAGUCAAGGCUAUUGUUUUCCUGGUGAUCAUGUAUGGAUGUGGGAGUUGGACUAUGAAGAAGGCUGAGCACCGAAGAAUUGAUGCUUUUGAACUGUAG